UGUAUUUAAUUCAAAUGAUUAUAUUCAGCUUCAUACUGAUUUUUAUGAAUAAACACUACUUCACCUAAGAGACUUGAGUAUCCAGUUCUUCGUUGACCUUCAGCAUUCAGUUGUUUGUCUUCACCUUUUCAGGUUUCCUGUGUCCAGCAUCUUCAAGACAGACUAAGCUAACUUUUCAUAUUUCUUGCACAUUUAUAUUUAGGUUAGGCUUAUAGUAGAGUAUUUAG